CGGUCUUUAAGACACAAGACUCACAAACACUUUGGCAGCUGGACGUCCCGACCGAGGAAAAGGUGAAAAUAAAAUGCUAAAAUCAGGAUCAUGAUACUGGAAACAAGGACGUCGUCCUUCUUCCGGGACAUCCAGCUGUUCUGUCAUCAAACGUGGCACAAAGCAGAAGCUGCUGAACGAGGGCAUGAACUGAAUGGAUCUGAAUUCCAGAAAUCUGGGACCAACGGAGUUCCUGAACCAAUAAGAGACGCCUUUGGAGGGAAGCUGUCAGCUGAUGUCAGCCUAGAGUUUCUGACGGCAUGUGGCAACAGACUGAUUUCAGCCAAACUGCAGCUGGA